rnacentral:rRNA from 1 species
AUGCAGCGCCUCCCUCGCUGGUGGACGCACCCGCCCGCAGGCCCCUCUCUCCCCAUGCACAGCCGCCACCGCCGACCUCUCUCUCCUCUUUCCCUCUUCCCGACGCGACGAUGGGCGGGAGGUUUCCCAGCGAUGGGGCUGCGGCCAAUGGCUUCAGCAGCCGCUUGCUGCAUGAGUGGGAGGCCUACCUCCUGCAUGAAGCGAACAUCCCGGCGCCACCCGACAUGCGCGCGCUGGUGUGGUGCAGGCUCAACGUCAGGGGCGUCCCGUUCCCCUCGCUGCCCGACGUCAGCACGCGCCUCGACCACUUUUACUUUUAUCUUCUACCCUUAUACAAGAGUCAUGGUGAUUGAGGGAGUCCUGGACUAG